AAUAAGGUGCCGGAUAAAACGGAUCACUUUGAUAGAGUGAACAAUGCUGAUUACAGCCCUUAUUA
rnacentral:tRNA from 1 species